rnacentral:rRNA from 1 species
GAACUNCGAUUGCGAAGGCAGCUUGCUGGACUGUAACUGACGCUGAGGCACGAAAGCGUGGGGAUCAAACAGGAUNAGAUACCCUGGUANNCCACGCCGUAAACGAUGAAUGCUAGCUGUUAGCGAUAUACUGUUAGCGGCACAGAGAAAUCGUUAAGCAUUCCACCUGGGGAGUACGCCGGCAACGGUGAAACUCAAAGGAAUUGACGGGGGCCCGCACAAGCGGAGGAACAUGUGGUUUAAUUCGAUGAUACGCGAGGAACCUUACCUGGGCUUAAAUUGCAGUGGAAUAACGUGGAAACAUGUUAGCCUUCGGGCCGCUGUGAAGGUGCUGCAUGGUUGUCGUCAGCUCGUGCCGUGAGGUGUCGGCUUAAGUGCCAUAACGAGCGCAACCCUCAUCGAUAGUUACUAACAGGUUAAGCUGAGGACUCUAUCGAGACUGCCGACGUAAGUCGUGAGGAAGGUGGGGAUGACGUCAAAUCAGCACGGCCCUUACGUCCAGGGCUACACACGUGUUACAAUGGGGGGUACAAAGGGCAGCUACCUGGCGACAGGAUGCUAAUCUCAAAAGCCUCUCUCAGUUCGGAUUGGAGUCUGCAACCCGACUCCAUGAAGCUGGAUUCGCUAGUAAUCGCGCAUCAGCCACGGCGCGGUGAAUACGUUCCCGGGCCUUGUACACACCGCCCGUCAAGCCAUGGGAGCCGGGGGGACCUGAAGUAUGCAACCGUAAGGAGCGUCCUAGGGUAAAACUGGUGACUGGGGCU